GAUGAACGCUGGCGGCGUGCCUAACACAUGCAAGUCGAACGGAGUUCUUAAGGAAUGCGACUUCGGUCAAAUGACUUUUGAACUUAGUGGCGGACGGGUGAGUAACGCGUGAGCAACCUGCCUUUCAGAGGGGGAUAACAUUUGGAAACAGAUGCUAAUACCGCAUAAGAUUACAGUACCGCAUGAUACAGUGAUCAAAGGAGCAAUCCGCUGAAAGAUGGGCUCGCGUCCGAUUAGAUAGUUGGUGAGGUAACGGCUCACCAAGUCGACGAUCGGUAGCCGGACUGAGAGGUUGAACGGCCACAUUGGGACUGAGACACGGCCCAGACUCCUACGGGAGGCAGCAGUGGGGAAUAUUGCACAAUGGGCGAAAGCCUGAUGCAGCAACGCCGCGUGAGGGAAGACGGUUUCGGAUUGUAAACCUCUGUUUUCGGUUGUACGGAACAAAUGACGGUAACCGAGUAGGAAG
rnacentral:rRNA from 1 species